UUAUAUGCAAAAAAAUUGUUAGAAUUCCCUUGGCGGCCAUGGUCGCUUUGCUCAAUCUUCAAAGAGCGCGGGAUUGCAGACUCCAGAGAGAAGCAUCCAUUUUAACUAAUUUGGGAAGCAAAUCGAAGCGGGAGAGUAAUUUGAAAGAAAAAUGCCUGUCAAGGAGCUCUGCAGAAACUUUCAGCGCGGCAGCUGUCAGUAUGGUGCAAGGUGUAAAUUUCUUCAUGUGACUCCGCAACAGCCGAAGGCUAAUGGCUCUGGUUUUGGCAUGCAAAGUAGCUUACCUCAACAGCAAAAGCCUAAUCCAUUUGGAUUUGGCACGCAAAGUAGCUCGCCUCAACAGCAAAAGCCUAAUCCAUUUGGAUUUGGCUCGCAAAGUAGCUCACCUCAGCUGCAAAAGCCUAAUCCUUUUGGAUUUGGUGUUCAAAGCAACUCUCAGUCAAAAGGACCUAAUAACUUUGGGAACAAACCAAACCAGUUCAAGCCUUUUGAAAACAAAUGGAGCCGUUUCUCUCCAAUACCAGGUGGUGGUGGCCCCCAUCCACGUCAGGCUGAUGGUCAGCCGCAGCCACAGUCGGCAAAUCAUAAUUGUAUGGACCCUGAAACUUGCAAACGUCUAAUUGCCGAAGAUUUUGAGAAUGAGAGACCACUUUGGAAGCUUACGUGCUACAGUCACUGGAAAAGUGCUCCUUGUGACAUUGUUGGUGAUAUUAGCUACGAAGAGUUGCGGGCAGCAGCAUAUGAUGAUGGUAAACGUGGUCUGAGCUUGCAGUCAAUUGUAAGGGAAUCUGAGAUACAAUAUUUUCAAAUUGUUCAUGUGUGUGCAUCAGUUGUCCAUACAUGUGUUGCCAAAUUUCUGAUUGAGAGAGAGAGGAGUUUGCUCAGUUCCAAAUUAGUUGACUUUGAUAAUCUUCUUCGUAAUCCCUACCGAGGACCUGCAAGCUCUGUCGUCCCAAGCCCAAGUGCAAUUCCAGAGAAUACUUCUAAUGUAUUCUCUCCAGCUUCUCAGAAUAGUUUCCCUUCUUCAGUCUCCAGUUUCGGCCAAUCAGGUGUAUCACCUAAUACUGGCUUCGGAAUAAGGCCCACUGCACCUGCAAAUAGUUUCCCCAUGCAACCUGUUUCCUUCCAGAAUUUUGGCCAGGCUCAUGGUGCCUUUGGGAUUAACAAUUUGCCAUCUGGACAUGCUGUUCCUACCCAGACAUUUGGAAGUUCCAUUAUGCCCAACAUGCCAGGCAUCACCAACAAUGGCACAAUAAGUGCUCAAAGUAACCAGUUCUCUGCUUCAGCAGAGUCGAUGCAAAAUCCAAAGUCAUCUAGUGAUCAGCUAUCUUUUGGGUCCAGCAUGUCUAGUUUGUCUUCCAAUAUUGCAGUUGGCCAGGCAACUAGAGAUGUUCAAUCACUGCUCCCAAACAUUUAUUGCUGUUGUUGAAAUCCUACUAUAGGGGGGGACAGUUGAAUCAUAUGCUGUCCCAACCUCCAACUCCAUCUCGUAUCAUGUCCUGUGUUUCAACUUCUCUCAGAUGCUCCAUUCUCAGAUGUUGGAGCAUCUUAUUAUAAUAAAUGAUGACGAAAGAUUUUCUAACUGAUUGGCCAAUGUAAACAAAAUGCUGCACGAUUCCAGAAGAAGCCCCUCCAGAUGCAUUUGUCUAGUGUGGGAUACCUUGUAGAUUCAUGUCAAAACAUCACCGCAGUUAACAAUCAGAUCGCUAAUUGGUUAUCAUUCAUUUGGCAUGCACUAGAACUGCGUCUUUAUGCAGUGCCUGGCUUAUGGGAAUGUGUAGGUUUCUUUAUCGCACUCAUAGCAUUUGAUAUGUGCUUAUAAAGAUGCUGCAGACUGCAGUAUCUACCGUAAGCCGGGUGCGUUUUAUGCCGCCGGCUGGAUGAUCGAAAUAUAGAUUUUUACCCAGGUAAAAUUAUAUUGCUCGCCGGCAAUUGGCGCAGGAGCUUUAUAGACUUCCAUAUGCAUAAAGUUAUAUAUACACAUACAAGAUUAUGUUUUACUUUCUAUAGGUGCUUUACACAACUGGUUUUAGUUUUCUUUC